CCUACGGGAGGCAGCAGUGGGGAAUAUUGCACAAUGGGGGAAACCCUGAUGCAGCGACGCCGCGUGAGUGAAGAAGUAUUUCGGUAUGUAAAGCUCUAUCAGCAGGGAAGAAGAAAGACGGUACCUGACUAAGAAGCCCCGGCUAACUACGUGCCAGCAGCCGCGGUAAUACGUAGGGGGCAAGCGUUAUCCGGAUUUACUGGGUGUAACGGGAGCGUAGACGGCUGUGCAAGUCUGAAGUGAAAGCCCAGGGCUCAACCUCGGGACUGCUUUGGAAACUGUGGAGCUAGAGUGCUGGAGAGGUAAGUGGAAUUCCUAGUGUAGCGGUGAAAUGCGUAGAUAUUAGGAGGAACACCAGUGGCGAAGGCGGCUUACUGGACAGUAACUGACGUUGAGGCUCGAAAGCGUGGGGAGCAAACAGGAUUAGAUACCCCGGUAGUC
rnacentral:rRNA from 1 species